rnacentral:piRNA from 1 species
GGGCUUCAUAUACACUGCUUCUUGGAGAU